UACGAAGGGGGCUAGCGUUGUUCGGAAUCACUGGGCGUAAAGGGCGCGUAGGCGGCUUUAUAAGUCGGGGGUGAAAGCCUGUGGCUCAACCACAGAAUUGCCUUCGAUACUGUAGAGCUUGAGACCGGAAGAGGUUAGUGGAACUGCGAGUGUAGAGGUGAAAUUCGUAGAUAUUCGCAAGAACACCAGUGGCGAAGGCGGCUAACUGGUCCGGUUCUGACGCUGAGGCGCGAAAGCGUGGGGAGCAAACAGG
rnacentral:rRNA from 1 species